CCCUACUGCUAUCGGGGUGGGACUAAGACAUGCGGGUUGAGCGUCUCUAAGCCAUGGUAGAGACGCAGCGUACGGCUCAGUAACACGUGGCUAACCUACCCUUAGGACGGGGACAACCCCGGGAAACUGGGACUAAUACCCGAUAGGUGAGGAGGCCUGGAAUGGUUCUUAGUCGAAAAGGCGUUGAAACCAUGCUUUUCGACGUCGCCUAAGGAUGGGGCCGCGUCCGAUCAGGUUGUUGGUGGGGUAACGGCUCACCAAGCCUUUAACCGGUACGGGCCGUGAGAGCGGGAGCCCGGAGAUGGGCACUGAGACAAGGGCCCAGGCCCUACGGGGCGCAGCAGUCGCGAAAACUCCGCAAUGCGCGAAAGCGUGACGGGGCUACCCCGAGUGCCGUCCGCUGAGGAUGGCUUUUCCCCGGUGUAAUGAGCCGGGGGAAUAAGGAGAGGGCAAGACUGGUGUCAGCCGCCGCGGUAAUACCAGCUCUCCGAGUGGUAGGGAUGAUUAUUGGGCUUAAAGCGUCCGUAGCCGGCUUAGCAAGUCUCCUGUUAAAUUCAGCGACCUAAUCGUUGAGCCGCGGGAGAUACUACUAGGCUAGGAGGCGGGAGAGGCCGACGGUAUUCUCGGGGUAGGGGUGAAAUCCUAUAAUCCCGGGAGGACCACCAGUGGCGAAGGCUGUCGGCUAGAACGCGCUCGACGGUGAGGGACGAAAGCUGGGGGAGCGAACCGGAUUAGAUACCCGGGUAGUCCCAGCCGUAAACGAUGCGGGCUAGGUGUUGGGGUGGCUACGAGCCACUUCAGUGCCGCAGGGAAGCCAUUAAGCCCGCCGCCUGGGGAGUACGGCCGCAAGGCUGAAACUUAAAGGAAUUGGCGGGGGAGCACCACAAGGCGUGAAGCUUGCGGUUC
rnacentral:rRNA from 1 species